rnacentral:rRNA from 1 species
UACGGGGGGAGCAAGCGUUGUUCGGAUUUACUGGGCGUAAAGGGCGCGUAGGCGGCCAGCACAAGUCAGUUGUGAAAUCUCCGAGCUUAACUCGGAAAGGUCAACUGAUACUGUGCGGCUAGAGUGCGGAAGGGGCAACUGGAAUUCCCGGUGUAGAGGUGAAAUUCGUAGAUAUCGGGAGGAACACCAGUGGCGAAGGCGGCGACCUGGGCCAAUAUUGACGCUGAGGUGCGAAAGCGUGGGGAGCAAACAGG